GGACUGUGGCUCAGUGGUAGAGUGCUCACCUAGCAUGUGCGAGGCCCUGGGUUUGAUCCUCAGCACCA
rnacentral:tRNA from 1 species